rnacentral:tRNA from 1 species
GCCCGGGUGGCGAAAUUGGUAGACGCAAGGGACUUAAAAUCCCUCAGGGCAACCUAUGCGGGUUCGAGUCCCGCCCCGGGCACCA